rnacentral:rRNA from 1 species
UACAGAGGGGGCAAGCGUUAUUCGGAAUUAUUGGGCGUAAAGGGCGCGUAGGCGGCCUGGCAAGUGGAAGGUGAAAUCCCUCGGCUUAACCGAGGAACUGCCCUCCAAACUGCUUGGCUUGAGUCCGGGAGAGGUGAGUGGAAUUCCCAGUGUAGCGGUGAAAUGCGUAGAUAUUGGGAGGAACACCAGUGGCGAAGGCGGCUCUCUGGGCCCUACCUGACGCUGAGACGCGAAAGCGUGGGGAGCGAACCGG